rnacentral:other from 1 species
GUCUGCUUUGUUUGCCAGGAUUAUAAGAAAUUUUGACCAACUUUUAUGAAAGGGAGCCUGGUCUCUGUUUGCAGCGUAGAAGCCUCUUUAAGAGGACCUAUAAACCAGACAGGAGGGCACCCACUUGGCGGUAGAGGAUCAAAAUUACGUGAUACCAGCGGCAUAGUGGAC